rnacentral:misc_RNA from 1 species
UAUCGUGUUCAGCCCUUCAAUGUGUCAAGUCAAAUUGUUGUCCUGAGCUUUUUCUAGAUUGUUCGUAUAAUUAUUACUGCAGGCUCACGUAUCAUUUCGUUUUUGCCUCGAGAUAUUAAUAUCAAUAGAAAAAAAAAUGCGACUUCUUCGUAAGAUUAAGUACAUCAUUGCAGCUGGGGCAGCCGGUGGCGUUUUGGCGAGUUAUCUGGCUGUGAGUGCAGCAGAGGUCGCCCUAGAAGAGAAAUAUAGAGAAGACCCAGCAUUGUUUGGCCACCAAAAUUCCAGAUCGAAAUGGGAUUUCAACUGGGACAGGCAAGAACCACACACUUUGGUAAAACCUUCCAAAUCUGGAUCAGUUGAUAGUGAAAAAGUAGAGAAGGUAAAACCAACAGCAACAAGAAAUCUUAUCUUGAUUCGUCAUGGCCAGUAUAACCUAAAGGGUACAAAAGAUGAAGAACGCUACCUCACUGCUUUGGGUAUUGAGCAGGCAGAUUAUACUGGAAAACGUUUAAAAGAGCUUGCAAUGCCCUACACAUCCAUAGUGCAAUCUUCCAUGUGCAGGGCCAGAGAGACAGCUAAUGUUAUUUCUGGUCAUCUACCAAAUGUCCCUCUUCACACUUGUGAUUUGCUUCAAGAAGGAGCCCCCUUCCCUCCAGAGCCACCUGUGGGGCACUGGAAGCCCGAGAUGCAUCAGUUUUAUCGAGACGGAGCACGAAUUGAAGCUGCUUUCCGAAAAUACUUUCACAGAUCCGAAGCUUCUCAGAAAGAAGACAGUUACGAAGUUUUAGUUUGUCACGCUAAUGUUAUUCGCUUCUUUGUUUGCAGAGCUUUACAGCUGCCACCUGAGGCCUGGUUGCGUAUGAGUCUCCAUAACGCGAGUAUUACCUGGAUUGCCAUCCGGCCAUCGGGACGUGUUGUUUUACGAGCUCUUGGCGAUUGUGGCCAUCUUCCACCCGCUAAACUUACCACCACGUGACGUCUACGUGGGGAUCAAUUGGUGAUGUAACAGCAAUGCUCGGAGUAGAAUUCGCAAUGACCAAGCACGUGCCGUUGUUGUUUGUUCGGAAUCAAUAAAAAAUAUGCGAUCGUUCGUAUCAACUCAAAA